rnacentral:lncRNA from 1 species
UUCAUUUUAAAUUCUCAUUUAUUUACAGAUUUGCCAAGCAAGCAGCAGAUGGAGUAGAGCAGACCUCUUUUCUCGACUGCAGUGGCUUGGCAAUGGAUGCCCUAAUAAGAAGAUUGACUUGACUUUUUAAUGCGAUUCCGUGUAUCACACAACUUACAAGACAAUAUGUUUCAUUAUAUAUCUAUGAUCAUAUUUAGGAUACAUGUUAAUGACCAUUGUAAGAUUGUGUGUAACAUACAAGACUUGGGCCACUUGCAUCAAGGUCAAGUUCAGAUAUAGAAUUCAGCUGCAUACAGUCUACCACAUAGCUAAUAAACCCUAUGAAAGGAGCUGUCGGUAUUUCCAUGGUGCAGCUAUCACCAGUUUCAAAAUGGAAACAGAUGGUGAGUCUCAAGCGAAAAAGAAAAGUGGACCUCUCCUAACAACUUAAAAGGAGAACAUUAUCUUGCAUAGCAUUUUUCUCCGAAGGGAUUGAUUCAAACAAGCACAUUGUGACAAGUAUCCCACUGAAGGCAAGUUCUACAACAAGGAGACGGACUCCACCAAUAUAUCGACGUUCAAAAAGGGCUUAAAUUUGUUUACCGAUCAAAACUAUGCCAUAAGACAUGAAUCACCCUCCAAUUCAAACAAAACAUAUGGAGAAGUCAGUCACUUUCAAAUCAAGUAACAAUUUAAGAUAUGAGACGAUUCUAAUGACGACAAUGAAUAUGGAGAAGUAUAAUGUACUUGAAAAUGUUUAAUGGAAAAAGAGGAAUGUGAAACUUUUUUGUAUUUAUUUGGUUCUCAUGAAGGCUUUGUCAUUGAUAAGGCAGAUAAGUUGAUUUAUUUCUUUGUUUUCAACAAAGAGAAAAGUUGAAAAGAAAAGCAUUUUAGGAGUACUAAAAGAUGUUAUAGAAAUAUUUGAGAUAGAAUGUAAAAACUGGCCCUUCUUAGGGUCUGCUAAUUUAGGGCUAAAAUAAAAUAAAAACAUAUAAUUGA